UUAACUCAAAUUUGUAUGGAGUUGGAACAGCGCCCCUAGCGGCAAACGAAGGGUAGUUGUUCCAACUUCAUACAAAUUUGAGUUA
rnacentral:pre_miRNA from 1 species